AGACAUAGAACUUACUGGCUAUUUCCGAACCGAACUGGCACUGAAACUUUUGCAGUAUUUACGAGUAACAGAUGCUCCACACUUCUAUGGCUUACCUUCUUUGGAAAGAACAUUAAGAGGGAUGGUUCAUGUCACUGCACUCCCAGGCUGGAGUUCAUACUCAGUUACAAUGGAGUCAUUCACAAUUUGUAAAAAAUACUUAGCAGGACUUCUUGAAGUCAUCUCAUCUUUUUAUGUUGAAUGGGGAGGAAAUGCCAUGUCUUUCAUGGGGAAAGGUGUCACAAAGAGUGCCAUCCUUUGUUUGCUUCACUUGUCCCAUGAAAUGAUGGCUCAGGCCCCAAAUCUGGACUGGGUAUCUCUAUGGUUCUUGCCAUAUGAUGGCAGGGAAGAGCAGUCUCUUUCUCGACAAGGCUUGGCUUGGUUAAUUCCAUUAUGGGUAGAUAGAGACCCGGAGCUUCUGGAGUCAUGUCUGAUACCAAUCUGAUUGAAAAUUUUCCAAUCACUUUCCGAGGAAUCACUGUUUUGGCACCUGACCCAGAGAAAGCACCUUCUAUCCCAUGGAGUGAUAAGGAGGGAUAUCGCCACCUAUGC